rnacentral:rRNA from 1 species
AGAUAGAAACCGACCUGGCUCACACCGGUUUAAACUCAGAUCAUGUAAAAUUUAAAAGGUCGAACAGACCUAAUAUACUAGCUUCUGCACCAGCAUUUAAUUUUAAUCCAACAUCGAGGUCGCAAUCUCUUUAUUUGAUAAGAACUCUAAAAAAAAUCACGCUGUUAUCCCUAAGGUAAUUUACUCUUUUAAUCUAUACAACAGGAUCAAUCUUUCAUAAAUCUAUGAAUCUAUAUAAAAAAAGUUAAUCUAAUUUUUUCAUCACCCCAAUGAAAUAUCUCACCCUAUCUAAAAUCAUUUAAAACCCUAACUUCAAAUAAAAUUCAAUAUAAAACUCUAUAGGGUCUUCUCGUCUUCUAUACAAAUUUAAGCUUUUUAACUUAAAAAUAAAAUUCUAAUAAAUUUUUAAAGAGACAGCUUUUUUUUCAUCAAACCCUUCAUACAAGCUUUCAAUUAAAAAACUAAUGAUUAUGCUACCUUUGCACGGUCAACAUACCGCGGCCAUUUAAUUAUUCAUAGAGCAGGUUAGACUUAAAAUCAAUAUCAAUAAGCC